rnacentral:rRNA from 2 species
UACGGAGGGUGCGAGCGUUGUCCGGAAUCACUGGGCGUAAAGGGCGCGUAGGCGGCGCGGGCAGUCAACGGUGAAAGCUCGGAGCUCAACUCCGAGUCGGCCGUCGAUACUCCCGUGCUUGAGCACUGUAGAGGCAGAUGGAAUUCCGGGUGUAGCGGUGGAAUGCGUAGAGAUCCGGAAGAACACCGGUGGCGAAGGCGGUCUGCUGGGCAGUAGCUGACGCUGAUGCGCGACAGCGUGGGGAGCAAACAGG